AAGACUUUAGCAUAAAGGUAAUGCAGUUCGCUCAUAAUGGAUACAAUAAGAGUUCAACCCUCUUAGGUCUUA